rnacentral:rRNA from 1 species
AACGGUAGCUAAUACCGCAUAACGUCGCAAGACCAAAGAGGGGGACCUUCGGGCCUCUUGCCAUCGGAUGUGCCCAGAUGGGAUUAGCUAGUAGGUGGGGUAACGGCUCACCUAGGCGACGAUCCCUAGCUGGUCUGAGAGGAUGACCAGCCACACUGGAACUGAGACACGGUCCAGACUCCUACGGGAGGCAGCAGUGGGGAAUAUUGCACAAUGGGCGCAAGCCUGAUGCAGCCAUGC